AUUCUAUGGUGUGGACACUUUCACAGCAUAUUCUUGAACAUAUUCCAAGCUUCAUCAAAAUUCCCCGAGUCGCCUGACGAAAGACAGAAAUGUCGUGCUUGAGAUU
rnacentral:snoRNA from 1 species